rnacentral:misc_RNA from 1 species
CUGAAUUGUCAACAUGAGUUGUUGCUGGUCCUCAAACUGAGGGCAUGUGCACACUCUGUUUACACAUCCACUCACACCUGUGCACUCUCUCUGUAGUUCUGUAGCUUGGGGGCUUCUGUUCCCUUGCCGUAGUUCUGCACCUUUACACACACACUGUAAUAAAGUCUCAUGGAAUGUAUGCCGCGUUUAACGCAAUAUAAUA